rnacentral:rRNA from 1 species
GAGGAAUAUUGGGCAAUGCCCGCAAGGGUGACCCAGCAACGCCGCGUGGAGGAUGAAGGUCGUAAGAUUGUAAACUCCUGUUAGAGGGGACGAAUGAUUAUAAUUCGUAAGGGUUAUGAUUUGACUGUACCCUCAGAGAAAGCCCCGGCUAACUACGUGCCAGCAGCCGCGGUAAUACGUAGGGGGCAAGCGUUGUCCGGAUUUACUGGGUGUAAAGGGCGCGCAGGCGGAUUUUCAAGUCAGUGGUGAAAUCUCUCGGCUUAACCGGGAAGCUGCCAUUGAUACUGUUGAUCUUGAGUAAGGAAGAGAGAGACAGAAUUCCAGGUGUAGUGGUCAAAUACGUAGAUAUCUGGAAGAACACCAGUUGCGAAGGCGGUCUCUUGGUCCUAUACUGACGCUGAGGCGCGAAAGCGUGGGGAGCAAAC